GGUUUUAUAUAUGAUAUACAAGUACAAUCGAGGAAUAUAACGUGAGGCCUAAACAUGACGUAGACUUGUGCAUUCUUUUUAAACUUUAUCUUGUACUUUUGUGCACUGUUUACAAAAUUUUAGUCGUAUGCAUAUAAAGAAUAAUCCAUGAAAAACUGUAUUCCCAUAAUUGCCACUGGCAUAGGUGGUGCUACAGUUCUAAUUUAAAUUUCACAUUUCAUUUUUUAAUUUCUCAUAUACAUUUAAAAUUGCAUAAGUCAUUAAUGUUUCUGAACUGAUGUAUAGCAUUGACUCUUAAUGGUCAGUUACAAUUAUUCCCUGUGACACAAUUACCAGUAUUCUUAUCAUCUUUUAAAAUAACUCAAAUAUCUAAAUCUGAAUCUAAGCAUUUUGUAUUUUAUUCUGUUAUUCUUUCAUAAUUAGGAAAAACCAAAGAGAAGGGGUCCAAAUAAACUGAUGAUCAGAUCACAUGAUAAGCUACAUGAACCAUCACCAACUGCAUCUUCUUUUUCUGAAAGUACAGCUUCAGUUGACACUGUUUCAGAGACUACCAAUCAGCAUGAAUCUCUCCUAGAGUCAUUGAGAGUUGUUGAAGCACCAGAGAGGAAUGGUCAUGAUUAUUUACAAACACUGUCUGACAGGAAGAGUUUCAAGAAUUUCGAAGAUCUAAGUUCAAGUGACCCUGAUUUCACUACAUUUUUCAAUUCUGUUCAAAAAGACUCUAAGAUUUACCAAGAAAUGUGUUUCAAAAAUCAGAUCUUCAAAAUGGAAGUCAUACAGCAAAAUAAGCAAUUAUUUAAUUUUUACACUGGCUUGGAUCUUGAUGUUUUCAACUCAUUAUUUACUUAUCUACAACGAAAAGCUUCAUCAAUGCAGUACUUCCAUGGUGAAAGAACAACAUAUGUCCAACAUUUAAUCUGGAUGGCUACGGUGUGAAGAGAAAGCCUGGUGUCACCAGGCAGCUUAGUCUACAAGAAGAAUUCUUCAGUGUUUUGUAUCGUUUACAGACAGGACAUUUACUGGAAGAAUGUAGUCUUCGCUUUGGUGUGAACUCCAGUCAGUUCUGCAGAAAUUUCACAACCUGUAUCAAUCUCUUAUCUAUGGAACUGGAACUUUUAUGUAAAAACGCAGAGCCAGAUGAAGAUGUGGACUUGCAAGUUGCUUCAAACCAUUUCAAACUUGAGAAUUAUUUUGGACUGUACAGAACUGUUCAGUGAAACACCUUCCAGUGUGGAAUACCAUAAACAGACUCACAGCAAUUAUAAACACCACUCUACAAUAAAAUUUCUAGUUGGGAUCCAUCCCUCAGGGGCUGUGACAUACAUCUCUAAAGCUUAUCCUGGAAAGUCGUCGGACAAACAGAUCACACAAGAAAGCCUGGACCUUAUUGACUCCCUUAUACCAGGACAAAAAGUUAUGGUGGACAGGGGCUUUACGAUUGAAGAGGAUCUCCCUUGUGGUGUCAAAUUAGUUAUUCCUUCUUUCAAGGGUGCAAGCAGACAACAACUUACCGCAAAUGAGCUAUCAGAGUCAAAAGUCAUCUCCAGGGCACGAGUUCAUGUGGAACGAUGUAUGCGUAGGAUUAAGUCUUUCAACAUUCUAAGACAAGAAUUAAAACUAUCGCAAGUUGAUGUAUACGAGCAAAUAUUCAAAACCUGUGCCUAUCUUGUUACAUGUAAUUUUCAAAAUCCUUAUUUAAAGUCUGAUGAUUAUGGUGUUUCUGAACUAAAAAUAAUGCUGAUACAUAAUUGAGAUGCAUAUAUUAUAUGUUAUGCAAGUUCAACUGUCAUUGUCUGAUGUAGUGUAUACAAAAGUAUUGAGUUGGAAAAUGAUUCUGCUCAAUAUACACACCACCAAGUUCUAUUUGUGUGAUAAAUACUUGUACCCUGUAUCAUGAUUUACCGUAAUUUCAAUUUAAUAUUAAUUUAAUAAAAAUUAAUGGGUUAUUUUUUCUAUUUAUUUCAUAUUAUCAAAUAUAUGUUCAUAUCACUACAAACUUGUUUAAAAUCAUGUUUUAAUAAGGUUUGGGGAUCGAUAUUUUCAUAAUUCAAAACUUCAAGAGCAAAGAAAAACUCAGAAUUGAUUUCAAGGAAACUGUGAAUUGUCUGACUUUUAAAAUAUUAUGUCACAGUUCCUUACACAAGUAGGACAAUACCACUGACAAUCUAAAUCUUCAUACUCGGUUGGAUCAUAGUACACACAUGACCAAUGAUACCAUUUUCUACAUCCACAGUUGCACUGACAUAAAAUGCCCUUAUCCUUUUCUUUCUCCAAAGAUCUUAAACAGUGCCCAAAUUUGAUACUCAAGUCUGAGACGGCAGCUGCCUCUGACUCAUUAGGAGGAGCACUCAUCUUGAUUAGGUGUGGCCCUAGAAAUUUUUCAAAAAAAAAGAGAAAUGUUUUCAAAUACAGUAUUCCAGUACAUUUGGUCAAAUUCAAUGACUUCAUGAACAUAAUCAGCAGGUGACCAUACAAUGAAGUGGGUUUUGUGGAUAUUCGUCACGCCCAUCUGUACCUGAACUUGAGUGUAAU